AUCUUUGCGCUUGGGGGCAAUGACGCAGCUAGUGAGGUAUUAACCGAGGCGCGUCAAUUGCUGGUUGAAAACUAUCUCCAAACCUCUCUUCGGCCUUGGGUUCCUCUUGAGACGGCUCCCUUUACAAGGGCAAGGCUUUACAAUACAGUUAGAAUAAAUAUUUGAGUAAUCAAUAUAUAAAAAGGGUCAACCUUACAUGAGGUUUUGAU